GGAAGUACAGUAGCGCAAGUCCCGAAGACCAUCCGAAAACUUUGCCGAGAUCCGAAGCGACGGCUAGAUAGUUCAGCUGUACCUGUGAGAUCCCUAGAACCGAUUUCAAAUCCGACGAGUACGUCGAGAAAUCGAAAUUCGUACCGGUGAAAGCUUGAAUCCAGAUCGUCGCCACUAGAAUCAUCCACUUCCUCGAUUGUCCCGCCAUCUCUUUCAAAUCUCCUACGUUGGUUCCUAAAUCUCAGGAGCUUUUUGCUUUUUUUUCUUUUUUAUUUGUGUUCUCUCGAUGAUGUGUUUGGUAGUGGAAGAGCAUGAUUAUUGGGUUUCUUAGACUGAAGUUUUUAUCGAAAUAUAAUAACCCUGUUAAUUUUUAACUAAAAAAACUAAGAACUCUCUUUUAAAACUCUUAUUUAAGAACCGGUUCUUACUUUUUUUAGUUGAAAGUUAAUAGACGGAUUCUUAUAUUCCGCUAAGAACUCCACCCUAAGAACCUCCCAAUAAUCAUGCUCUUAGUGAAGCUUUGCUCUCUAAUGCAAAAACGAAUCAUAAUGGUUUACGUGGCUGGCAUCGGUAGAUGAGGUGUAAACCGGGUUGGAAUUGAUUUUAUUUGGUUUGCUUUGUUUGAUUGUAAAUUGAGCCCUUGAACCAAUAUGAAUUUUCUUUUCGACGACGAACCAAUAUAAUUUAUCUUCAUGAUUGAUAAGUUCACAGUGAUUUGGAUUUGGUAUUAAUGAAUACAUCAUCGUUUAGCAACUGAUAGCCUUCGAGGCUGGCUUCACGUGUGGCCAUUCCUUUAUGUAUCUCAAGCUCAUCCACAUCAACAAGAAUGAAACCGGAACCUUCUAAACGGAAACUGGAGUGGACGUUAUGGAGAUACCAAUUACGAGCGUAGACUAGACCGGGAAGGCAUAAGGGGAGAAUCAAGAGAAGAAUAGAUCCACCAAAGAGCAGACGAGCUGAGGUUACAUCAGAAGUCUUGGAACCAAAGAGAAGCAGAUAAACACCGUUCAAAACCGCUAAUAUGUUAAGCAAGAGAAACAUGAGAGAGUCCCUACGAACUCCAUCUGGUGGAAGAGGUUCAAGAGGCGGUUGGCGAAGAAUAGGGAUGAGAGCAGCGAAGGAGACGAUAAGAGGUAUAAGGGCGUUUAAGAGAAGGUAUAGCUGUGUGGAGAUAGGAUUGAUUGCGUUGUAAGCAAGAGUGUAUAACGCAGCACUUACGCCGUUGAAGCUGACUGUGAGGGAAAGCGCAAGUGAUCUGUUUGCAGGGAAGUUUCUGAUGCAGAGCACAAAGCAGACUGUGUUAAACCAACAGAUACUUAGCCCAGCUAACAAGCAACACAGAAACACCUGCCACAAAAUCACAAAAACAUACUUAAUCCCAAGAUAUAUCCGAGACAUUGUGAUCAAGAAUUAUAUAAAAAUCCAAGAAAGUCAUUCCUCGAAAGAAAAUAUUCAGAAAUUAAAAUAUUUUAUUGACCAGCUAAGUGGAAGAUAAAUAAAAAAAAGGGAAUCAUUCAACCAUAAUACUCUUAUCUUAAAAUUCAAUAUAUAUAUUUUUUUUUAUCACAUGACAAAGAUCCUCCCAUGUCUACUCAACAAAAACAAGAAUAGUUCAGAAUGCAAGAAAGUCAAUUUGUAAAAGAUUUUUGGCCAGAGAGACAAAAGAAUAAAACUAUAAGAAACGAAGAUCCGAUAACAAGAAACUGAAGGUUCUCGAGAUAGCCAUCGUCAGAUCCCACAGACAAAGCAGAAGCAAGCCAAAGAAAGUCACGUGCGACGAACCAGUCAAAUGAAAAUUCAUUUCUAAACUACCAUACUAGUCAUCACCAACUCUUCUUCCAAACUUCCAAAUCUUGAUUUCAUCUCAUUUACAACCAGAAAAGAAAACAUUUUUACAUAGAAAAACAGAAGUGUGAAUACUAACAAACCUGGUCCUAUGUACUUAGCGGUCAAAUGCAUUAAAAAGUUUUUGCCCAUAAACUACCAUAAAAAAACAGAAUAUAAUUUUCAAAAAUCAAGAUUUAGCUAUCAUGAACUUUCUUGAAAGCAUCAAACUGAUUCACCGAUUAAACAAGAUAGACACCGAUAAGCUCAAGAAACUGAAAUGUUGAGGAAAUUAUAUUACCAGAAUGUAGGGCAAAGAAAUAACGUUAGUGAUGACGAGCCACUGAACACCAUAACCAACGAACCCCAUUAUCGCCGCCGCGAAGAGAACCGUCCAGAGAGGGAAGUACAGUAGCGCAAGUCCCGAAGACCAUCCGAAAACUUUGCCGAGAUCCGAAGCGACGGCUAGAUAGUUCAGCUGUACCUGUGAGAUCCCUAGAACCGAUUUCAAAUCCGACGAGUAGGUCGAGAAAUCGAAAUUCGUACCGGUGAAAGCUUGAAUCCAGAUCGUCGCCACUAGAAUCAUCCACUUCCUCGAUUGUCCCGC
rnacentral:lncRNA from 1 species